AUGUCCAUUAUAUUCAGUGGAUUAAUGGUGUUGCUGAAUUUAACUAUAUCAUUUUCUGAUUUUCUGCCUGCAAGAUCUGUCUAUUUCGGAGAAAGGAAUGUUGAAGUCUUUAGCCAUAAUACUGGAUUCAUCUAUUUCCUCUUGAAAUUCUAUUCUGGUUUCCUGUGCUUCAAACUUGGUUUCUCCUUCAUCCUGGAUACUUCCAGAGCCGGGGACCACUCAUAUGAUAAUGCCAGCUCACUCAGCACCUUCUAAUUCGGUGAUGGAUCCUCGAGCAAGUUGGGCUGGAGCAAGAGAAAGCCUUGAUUAUGCCAAAGAGGUCACUGUGGCGCAGUGGCCAACAUUUUUCUGUGUGAAUUAAUAUAUCAGUGUCUGUGUUGGAGAAGAGUCUUGGGGUGAAAAUCUACAGAUCUGAGACCUGAAACCACACCAUGUGAUGAUUAUUCCCGCUUACAGGCAGCAAGUGGGAUAAGCAGGCUGUGAUAUUGCAAAAAGAAAGCUGAUAUUCUUUCUGGAAGGUAGACCACAUCAAAGACAGAGAAAAAGGUAACACCAGCAAAAAUUUCCACCCAAACCCUCUUGGUUCACAGUUUCUGCUGGCUUGAUUUCUAUGCUUCUUACAGAAAUGCAAGAAACUUGUCCCUCUGUGUCCUGUAGAAGAUGGCAGAGGAGACUUACGGCUGAACAUCAGCACAGACCCAUCAUCAGUUUCUCCUUUAAAAGAGGUCAAUACAAAGACUUGAAAACAUGGAGAAAAUCUGCCCACCUAGCGGGCAGUGACUUGGCUAUAAUGCAUGGAUAACUCUUUGCAUUAUCGAGCUAAUGGUUAGCUCUCAGCUCAGAAUGCAGCAUCAUUUUGGACACUUAAAGAUUCUCACUUAACGUCUGUGAUGAUUGG
rnacentral:lncRNA from 1 species